rnacentral:rRNA from 1 species
GAUGAACGCUGGCGGCGUGCCUAAUACAUGCAAGUCGAGCGCACAGACGAGGAGCUUGCUCCUCUUACGUUAGCGGCGAACGGGUGAGUAACACGUGGAUAACCUACCUUUUAGCCUGGGAUAACUUCGGGAAACCGUAGCUAAUACCGGAUAAUAUAUUGAACCACAUGGUUCAAUAGUGAAAGACGGUUUUGCUGUCACUUAUAGAUGGAUCCGCUCCGCAUUAGCUAUUGGUGAAGGUAACGGCUUACCAAGCCAACGAUGCGUAGCCGACCUGAGAGGGUGACCGGCCACACGGGACCUGGAACCGGGUCCAGACCCCUACGGGGGGAAGCGUAAGGGAAUCUUCCGCAAGGGGCGAAAGCCUGACGGAGAAACGCGGCGGGAGGGAGGAAGGUCUUCGGAUCGUAAACCUCUGUGAUUAGGGAAGAACAAAUGGGUAAGUAACUAUGCACGUCUUGACGGUACCUAAUCAGAAAGCCACGGCUAACUACGUG